AAAAAGGGCUUCUGUCAUGAAUGACAUAGGUAGGACAGCUCCUUUGCUCUAUGUGCAGAAUCAACAUCAGGAGAUUUCAGAAGCAUAAUUUUUGUUUGGGCAGCUGGUGAUCGUUGGUCCCAGAGCCCUU
rfam:Erinaceus europaeus unplaced genomic scaffold scaffold01171, whole genome shotgun sequence